GUGGGAGCAGCAGAAGCAGAAGCUGUUGUCCUGCUGUGCAUGAAGCGUGUUUGAAGUCAUGUCCAGAAGGAAAGUGCUCUAAAUCAGCAUUUUGCAAGUGAAUAGAGAUGCAAUGGAGGUAGAGUCCAGCACCUACACCGACUUCAUUUCCUGCGACCGGGCUGGCCGGAGGAACGCUGUCCAUGACAUCCAGCGAGAGGCAACCACCAUCAGCAUGCGCAAGCUGACCGAGGACAUGGGUGACCUCGCUGUUGAGGGAGCAGAAAGCCAAAGAGAUGCCAGUUCUUCUGACAACGACCCUGGAGCAAGACCAAAGGGACAAGAAAGCAGCCCGUCCCCCUGAGAGCAAAAUGGGGGUGGGAUGGGCAGGAGGAGGGCCUUGCUGUGAACAUUAAACAAGAAUUGGUUGAAUCUGUGGACAAAAGCCAACCUGGAACAGUAAGUCGUCUGUCAAAUGCCUCUGCUGGAACCGUGCUUGUGUAGAGAGACACAAGACUCUUGCAAGGACUGGCACCUCCAAAAGACUUCUGCCCCCAUCCCUAAUGGUUUAGAGCAACACUGCCGUGGCUGUAGUGAUAUGAGCCAUUCUCGAGAUGCCUUAGCUGCAAUUUUCUCUUAGGGGAAAAACAGUUUCAGUAAUAAUAGACACACCACAUUUUCCUGUCCAAGGUACCUUCCUCCUUUGUAGAUUUAGACUAUUAUUUAUUCUGUUUCCAGAGAUUAGAAAUUUAGAUUAUUGUUUUUUCUAAGCCUCACCCUCAUCUACAUAUUAGACCUGGCCUCUGGAUUGUCCACAUGGCCUCUCGUCAGGGUGGGCAGCAGGGAAAGGACCCAACCUGUCCUGCUGCCCUCAUGUCAACACCACUCACCUGUGCUGCUGCUGCUGCUGCUUAGCAUCAGGAAAGGACCAAAGCACAGCUCUGUGGGGAUGAGCCUCACCUGGAGACCCAGCAGCACCAGCCACAGGCAUCUCUUUCUCUGGGCUUUAACACUUCAAGAUGUUCUUAAGGGGAGGGGAGGAACAUUUUGCUGGUUUGACUGUUGACAUUCAGGCUUAACUUUGCAAGCUGUUAGCUGAGAUGAUCUCUGGUAGGAUCUCACCCCCUUCUCUUUAAGGAGACAUGUUUUGUGUUAAAGAUGGUUUGAUAAAACUACAGAAGCUGUUGGAAUAAAUGACAUAGCCUUCAAGUCCUGAAGGUGUUUUUUUC